UAGUCCACGCCGUAAACGAUGGAUACUAGCUGUUCGGACUUCGGUCUGAGUGGCCCAGCGAAAGUGAUAAGUAUCCCACCUGGGGAGUACGUUCGCAAGAAUGAAACUCAAAGGAAUUGACGGGGGCCCGCACAAGCGGUGGAGCAUGUGGUUUAAUUCGAUGAUACGCGAGGAACCUUACCAAGGUUUAAAUGCAGAACGACAGUCCCGGAAACGGGAUCUUCUUCGGACGGUCUGCAAGGUGCUGCAUGGUUGUCGUCAGCUCGUGCCGUGAGGUGUCGGGUUAAGUCCCAUAACGAGCGCAACCCCUACUUCUAGUUGCCAGCGGAUAAUGCCGGGGACUCUAGAGGAACUGCCAGCGUAAGCUGCGAGGAAGGUGGGGAUGGACGUCAAGUCAGUAUGGGUCCUUAUGUCCAGGGGCUGCACGCGUGCUACAAUGGGGAUGUACAAUGGGGAAGCCAAGCCGCGAGGGUGGGAGC
rnacentral:rRNA from 1 species